AACUUUGUUUGUCAAUCCAUUCUCUGCACUCGACGUUUGGAAGUUGUGAUCGAAAUUCUUGCAGUUAAAUGGAUCCUCUUGCACUCAUUGCUUCGUAAUCAAAACAGACUAAGUAAACAAAAAAUCUUAGGACACAAGGAAAUGGAUGAAUGUAAAAUGCCAAAAAAAUCAUAGCUUUCAGUCCAUAGAAGAUUUAUUACGUCGAAU